GAGUUUGGCUUGUUGUUAUGAAAAAAAUUUUUUUGUGAGUUUGAACGUUUUUGAGCAUUUGUAAUGGCAUGAAUGUGUUGAAUUAGUAAUCCCUUGUGUUAAGCCGUUGUUUUAGUGUUCUUUUGAUGAGUUUGGCUUGUUGUUAUGAAAAGUGUUUGUUUUGGCGAGUUUGAACGUUUUUGAGCAUGUGUAAUGGCAUGAAUGCGUUAAGCUGUUGUUUUAGUGUUCUCAUGAUGAGUUUGGCUUGUUGUUAUGAACAUUGUUCGUUUUGGCCAGUUUGAAGGUUUUUGAGCAUGUGUAAUGGCAUGAAUGCGUUAAGCUGUUGUUUUAGUGUUCUUUUGAUGAGUUUGGGUUGUUGUUAUGAAAAGUGUUUGUUUUGGCGAGUUUGAACGUUUUUGAGCAUGUGUGAUGGCAUGAAUGUGUUGAAUUAGUAAUCCCAUGUGUUAAGCCGUUGUUUUAGUGUUCUUUUGAUGAGUUUGGCUUGUUGUUAUGAAAAGUGUUUGUUUUUGCGAAUUUGAACGUUUUUGAGCAUGUGUAAUGGCAUGAAUGCGUUAAGCUGUUGUUUUAGUGUUCUUUUGAUGAGUUUGGCUUGUUGUUAUGAAAAGUGUUUGUUUUGGCCAGUUUGAAGGUUUUUGAGCAUGUGUAAUGGCAUGAAUGCGUUAAGCUGUUGUUUUAGUGUUCUUUUGAUGAGUUUGGCUUGUUGUUAUGAACAUUGUUCGUAAUGACCAGUUGAAGGUUUUUGAGCAUGUGUAAUGGCAUGAAUGUGUUGAAUUAGUAAUCCCUUGUGUUAAGCCGUUGUUUUAGUGUUCUUUUGAUGAGUUUAGCUUGUUGUUAUGAAAAGUGUUUGUUUUGGCGAGUUUGAACGUUUUUGAGCAUGUGUAAUGGCAUGAAUGCGUUAAGCUGUUGUUUUAGUGUUCUUUUGAUGAGUUUGGCUUGUUGUUAUGAAAAGUGUUUGUUUUGGCGAGUUUGAACGUUUUUGAGCAUGUGUAAUGGCAUGAAUGCGUUAAGCUGUUGUUUUAGUGUUCUUUUGAUGAGUUUGGCUUGUUGUUAUGAAAAAUCCCUUGUAAUCCCUUGUGUAAAGCCGUUGUUUUAGUGUUCUUUUGAUGAGUUCGGCUUGUUGUUAUGAAAAGUGUUUGUUUUGGCGAGUUUGAACGUUUCUGAGCAUGUGUAAUGGCAUGAAUGCGUUAAGCUGUUGUUUUAGUGUUCUUUUGAUGAGUUUGGCUUGUUGUAAUGAACAUUGUUCGUUUUGGCCAGUUUGAAGGUUUUUUAGCAUGUGUAAUGGCAGGAAUGUGUUGA